rnacentral:rRNA from 1 species
UACGUAGGUGGCAAGCGUUGUCCGGAAUUAUCGGGCGUAAAGCGCGCGCAGGCGGUCCUUUAAGUCUGAUGUGAAAGCCCACGGCUCAACCGUGGAGGGUCAUUGGAAACUGGGGGACUUGAGUACAGAAGAGAAGAGUGGAAUUCCACGUGUAGCGGUGAAAUGCGUAGAGAUGUGGAGGAACACCAGUGGCGAAGGCGACUCUUUGGUCUGUAACUGACGCUGAGGCGCGAAAGCGUGGGGAGCAAACAGG